rnacentral:rRNA from 1 species
CCUACGGGUGGCUGCAGUGGGGAAUAUUGGACAAUGGGGGGAACCCUGAUCCAGCCAUGCCGCGUGUGUGAAGAUGGCCCUCGGGUUGUAAAGCACUUUCAGUGAGGAAGAACGCCUGGUGGUUAAUACCCAUCAGGAAAGACAUCACUCACAGAAGAAGCACCGGCUAACUCCGUGCCAGCAGCCGCGGUAAUACGGAGGGUGCGAGCGUUAAUCGGAAUUACUGGGCGUAAAGCGCGCGUAGGUGGCUUGAUAAGCCGGUUGUGAAAGCCCCGGGCUCAACCUGGGAACGGCAUCCGGAACUGUCAAGCUAGAGUGCAGGAGAGGAAGGUAGAAUUCCCGGUGUAGCGGUGAAAUGCGUAGAGAUCGGGAGGAAUACCAGUGGCGAAGGCGACCUUCUGGACUGACACUGACACUGAGGUGCGAAAGCGUGGGUAGCAAACAGGAUUAGAUACCCCUGUAGUC